CUAAUGGUGAACCCAACAGUGACUCCUGGGUGCCUGGACAACUGCUCUAGAUGUAUUAUCAGUCAAGAUUCCUUAGGUCUUUGGAGCCUGGAGUUUGCUUAAGAACUGUGAACGCCAGGCUCAAUCCCUCCUGACUGCCAAUCUGUGAGUCCCUGACAACCUGCGACAGGCUCCACUGCACCCAGGAAUUACCUUCCACGAGUGGAAGAAGGAGGUAGAAGACACAAUGUCAAUGUGAUAUGAGAAAGACUUGACUAGCCACUGCUGGGGAGGCCACCAGCCAAGGAAUGUUGGAAACUGGAAAUGGAUUUCCCUCUAGAUUCCCCAGUAAGAAAUGAAGCCGUGCCAACACCUUGACUUUCAGACUUCUGACCUGUAGAACAAGAACAUAAUAAAUUUGUGUUGUCUUAA